UACAGAGGUCCCAAGCGUUGUUCGGAUUCAUUGGGCGUAAAGGGUGCGUAGGCGGCGCGGUAAGUCGGGUGUGAAAUCUCGGAGCUUAACUCCGAAACUGCAUUCGAUACUGCCGUGCUUGAGGACUGGAGAGGAGACUGGAAUUUACGGUGUAGCGGUGAAAUGCGUAGAUAUCGUAAGGAAGACCAGUGGCGAAGGCGGGUUGCUGGGCUGACACUGACGCUGAUGCGCGAAAGCCAGGGGAGGCGAACGGG
rnacentral:rRNA from 1 species